CUUUCUCCUUCCAGAUAUAUCCUACAGAAAUCCGUUUCUACACAAAGUCCAACUUCUUUCUCCUUCUAGAUAAAUCCUACACAAAUCCGUUUCUACACAAAUCCUUUUCUAAACAGAUUUUCUCUUGCAUCUUCUAAUUUGUGUAUCUGCUCCUUUUGGAAAGCCCUUUAAUUUACAAACAACUACUACACAAUUCUUCUUCAUUUUUCCCUUACAUAGAUUCUAGAAUCUACUCAUCAAGAUACUUUCCCUCUCUCGCUUUUCCUUCUUCAAUUUGCCUUCGUUAUUCUUUUUUCGGUGUUGCUGUAUUUCUGAUUUUCGUUUAUUGCAGGUGUUUCUGGAAAGACAAUUAUUCUCCUCUGCUCGGCCUUGCGAGUACUUCCGGUAACAUCAUUAUGCGCAGAAUGCAUCUAAGAUAUUAGAGCUACCAUUCUUUAAGCUCGCUGGUAUAGAGAAGACGAGUUGUUUAAUUGGAGUCUUGACAGGAAAUGGAACUAGAAAGCUUGACGAAAGGGAUAAGCUGUAUGAAUUUUCAGAAUAACCUUAUCCACGAAGGGAAAGAACUAAAAGACCACUAUCAUACACAGGUUAGGGUUUCAAUAAGCAUUAGCGCUAUUUUUACAGCUUGCAUACGCCAAUUUGUUUUGUUUUACAACUAAAAGCCGGCUACCACAAAUAGCAAGCUGGCAAUUUAAAUCCCAGGGGAUGGAAAAACUUCGCCCUUAAAGCUGAUAGAUGCAUUAGUAAUGAGCAGAAAGACGUUGCACAACUCUUUGCUCCUUAACUUGCUACUUGAGGAAACCUCAUUCAAUGAUUCUACAGCUUUGAAGAUGUAUUGGAAGUUUAUGAACAAGGACCUCCAGGUUUCCUUAAGCAUCCAAUGCAACACGUUGUGAGAGGUAAUUGACUUUAGCUAGACACCUCUCUGUAAUUAUUCCUUUGCGUUGCGUUUUCCUGAAAUUGUACGUUGUAGAAACAGAGAAGGGAGCUUGUAUGUCAGAUGAAGAAUUUGGAAGACAGAUGCUAGCUGGAUUAAUUUCCAUGUGCAUUCUGAGCUCAUCUUUAUUUAAAGCAUUAACAAAUUUGAAAUUUGGUUCGACAUAUGGGUGGAGAGGUCCGAAGUGUUCACUUUGACAAAGUUUAAAAGCUGUUGAUUUUGAUAUCAAGAAAGAGAAUUAGUUUAGUUUUUCCCGUGCAGAUUACUGUAAUUGGGCCCAUGCUGGCACAAGCUGCUUUUAGAACAUGAUUUACUUUUUGCCGCUAAACUAAGCAGAAAUAUUUCAGUGAAAAGGCUUCUUAAAUCUUUACAGAUUCUAUUUGCAAGGUAAAAAGUUGAUGUGUUGUCCCAUCUAAGCUGCUACAUGUUAAUAGAAGGGUCCCAUCUAAGCUGCUACAUGUUAAUAGAAGGGUCCCAUCUAAGCUGUUACAUGUUAAUAGAAGGGUCUUGUAACGGAAAAAUUACUUUUUGAGCUAAUUUAAAUUUUCUGCUCUGACAUCAAGGUUUAUAGAGUGGGGAUUGAACAUGGUCUUUUAUUUAAAGCAUUCUAUUUUAUGAGAUCUUUAUAGUAACUAUGAGAUUAUUCGUGUCUGUGCAUUUAAAUCAACUGAUUUCAUUUGUCCUUUUAUUUCAUUUUUACCUGAUUUCGUAUAUUCUUUAAUGAAGUUCUUUAAUUUCAUUUUCUUUUGGUGCCUAUUCUUUGGAUUGUUACUGACAUAUUUUGUCCUUUGAUGGUUUCCUUUCUGCCCGGUUAUUUUAGUAGCUUCUGCUGCAACAGAAAAGAAAGCUGGAUGAGGGAUUGAAAAAAUUCAGCGAACUUAUAAUAUGCCUUCAGUGAAGAAGCUUCUUGAAAUCCUAUUAGUUGGCGUUGGUAGUUGUAGAAGAAAAGUAAUCAAGAAGCUGGAGACUUCAUCCUUAUGCAAUAAGAUGAAGGCGAGUAAUUACAUUUUGGAUGGACUCAACAACACUGCCCAAAAAAUCAAUUUGGUAGCAGACACAAGAUGGGGAAGAAAACCAAUUCAACUCUUUGUCAGGGGCUGAGUUUCAUAAGCAUAUAAUUCCUCGGUUCACAAAUUUUUCUAUGUAUUAGUUGAAGAACAUAAAAGGCUCAUUUCUCACUUGGAAGGCAUGUUCACACACGCCAGAGCUUUUCUUGUAUGGUUGUGGUAUCAUGUUCUUACAUGACUUUCAUAUUGUAGAUAUGCAGAUUAAAUACGUGUUGGCACUUGGCAGCUGUCAAGAUCCAGAUUUCAUGUAAUUUUGGCAUAGCCCAUACAUAAGUUGGACACCUACAUGAUCAUGAAAACCCGUACUAUUUUUGUCUUUAUAGCGAGUUCAAAAAUGUGAUUGUAUGACUUUGUUCCACAAAUGAAUUCACAUUAUGCAGUAUAUUACGUUAAUGCUUAGUUUGAUAUUUUUUUUUUUUUUUGACAAUCCUCCUGCAUGGUUAGAACCGCCAUGAAAUUACUGUUUCAUGCCCGUGCUAUGCAUGGGCACGACCAUCUAGUGUAUAUAUAUAUAUAUAUAUAUAUAUAGUAGGUGUCUGAACGUGAAUUGGAUACAAAGUUACCAAAAAGUCUUCACAACCCGAAUUUUGCGGGACAACACGCACAUUCUAAUAGGUGUACAAUACAUGUGGGACGUAGAACUAUUAAGUCAACUUUUUACUUUAAGAUAAAAUAAAAUGAAGUCAAGUUAAUUAAACGUACAUAAAGGAGACCUGUUUAGGCCUCAUUUGUCUGUGGUGGUGCGGUGGAGUUGGUGAUAAAAAUUAUUAUGUAAAAUAUUUUUUAAUGAUAUUAAGAUUUCAUUCAAAGUUUCAAUGAUUAAGAUCUAUUCGGAUCAAAUAAGUACUUAGAUUUUAAUGUAAAAUAAAUGCAUAGACCUGGAAACAAAUGAGGUGUUAGUCUCCUCUAUAUAUGGUGGAAAAGUUGAACUAAUUAAAUAUUGAGUUUAAGAAAUAUAUGCAUAGUUAAUAUAAAUAAUUUGUAUAUGCAUCUUCAGGUCAUUUUUUUACCCGUUGUGAUAUGUAGCAUAUCUUAUAUUUAAGAUUUCAAAUCCUAUAUUUUAAGAAGACAUACCCAAUAGAUAUUCUCGUUUGAAUAACCUGAAAGUGUAAAAAGUUAAUAUUUUUUUAUAUUAACGGUGUACAAAACUUAAACUCGUAAAUAUUUUAAAUUUAUACGAUGGAUUGAAGGGAGUCGGCAAAGGUUCCUACGGUUUGUAACUACCACAUGACUCAAGUAGUACUAGAAAAAUGCGCUAAUGAUAUAGAAAAAAUUUAAUUUCAUAUUCGUUCUCCUAUAUAUCUUCUCUAUACUUUUCUUCUUGGAGUGCCUCUCUUAUCCUUGUUCCUGUUAUAUAUAUCUGCUCAAACUUUCCCAAGUUAAAUCUCAAGAAUUAUUGUUUCACAAGUUCAUCCAAUGAGUGCUGCUGCCUCUAGCUCUUGUAGAAGGAUCUUCAUGAAGGAUUCAUCCCUUUCAUCCCAAUUAUGUUCGAUCUUUACCUGGGAUAAACCCAAUAAUAGAGGGCAUUUGGGUCAUUCUUCAGGGCAAAAGAGUGCUGUAAUCAACCAGAAACCAGAAUUGAAGCGUGCCAUCGUGGAAGCUCGAAUUAAGAGGAACCUAAAUGAGACUCAACUUGCAUAUAAGAUGAAAGUGAAUCCGCGACUCAUCCAAGCUUACGAGAAAGGGGAGGCAAUUCCGGACCAAAAGAUGAUAUCUCUACUGGAGAAAGCUCUGGGAGUGAAACUUCACUGAAUUGGAAAUAAUUAAUUCAGAUCCUUGUUUGUUUUGAGUUUCAAAAGUUACCUCAUGUGGUUGAACUUUUUCUCUUUUAAUUUAAUGUUUUCGCUUACUAGUCACUAGAGGAUAUGCAGGGUUGAACUGUAUGUUUCUCGUUCGAACCACAAUAAUAAUAAUAAUUUCCUUAGGCUUAGGACAAAUUUAAUUUGAAUCCUCCCUUGAGAACUAAAGAAUGAUUUGAAUUGUAUUGUAAUGUGAACUUAUAUUGUGGUUAUUACAUAGUAGUAAACUUUAUUAUUGUAAUGUGAAUUCCAUUUUUACGUAA